rnacentral:misc_RNA from 1 species
AAGUCCGUAACAAGGUUUCCUGUUAGGUGAACCUCGGGAACGGUCAUUUUAUUCUCAAAUAAAGUCUGGUUAGGAAGUGGGGUCUUGAUCUGUAAGUGGUACGAGCGAACAGGUCCGGCUGCCUCCCGAAAUGUCUUACAUGUCCCCCACAGCCUGAAGGCCGAAUUACAACCCUUGAUUAUCUACACUUGUUGCUUUGGGGUGCUCAAGUGCCCCAGAGGACCCAACUCUCUUGCAUUUAGUGACGUCUGAGUACUAUAUAAUAUUUAAAA